rnacentral:lncRNA from 1 species
CUUAAUGAAGAAUUUUGAACAAACACUUAGUAUGCAUAAUUUUGACACACUAAACCACUAAUAAUAGCAGUAGCCAUGUCACCAGCAUUGUAAAAAGAAAUAAAGAGCAAGGCUUAGCAUAUUCAUUGAUAUCAAGCUCAAACCAAGCGCAACAUCAUCAUCAAUUAUUCCAACCUCAAGCAUUGCUUCCACAGACAUUUCGUCAAACACUUUUGGAGGAUAUUUAAAUCGACUACAUUCCCAUUAGAGAGGUUCCAAGGAAGAGAGCAACAAAACGUUAUGAUAUGAAAAACUUCUAGCAAUCCUCACAAAAUCAGAUUAAUCAAUUGAAGCACUUGGAUCUAGAAGCCCUAAAUUUGCACCAAAUCAAAGUACAAAGAAUAAUUUUUUAGAGUCGUGGAUCUCAAUAAAAACCACAAUGACAAUGGAUGAAACAAAAAAUUCAAAUAAAAAAAUCCUUCCUAAGUCAAUGCCAAUCACUUUGACAAAAUCAGAUUUCAUUUCUCUGCUCUCAAUUCCACCGUAACAAUUCGACAAUGAAGCUUCCUGUGAGCACAUCCUAAUUUGAACAAAUGAUUUUGACUUUGGACAUCUAACAGAAGCCAUAAUCGCACUAACGAAGAUGACGAUAAUAUCGACACCAAACUUGAUUUGAAGUAAAUGAGAAUAACAAAACAAAAGUUAUCUCAAGAAAAAAAUUUUAAAAAAAGGAGAGAUCAAAUCGAAAAACAGAAAAUGAAAAGUGG